UGUUUAUUUUUUACUGUGUGAUGUCUAUUUUUGUCGAUCAUACGCAAUAAUGCGCACAGUUGAUGUUGGGGCUAUUGGUAAUACCGAACACCGGGGCGAUUCGUUAAUACUGAUUGCAGCGCCUAUGGGUAACCCUAACCUUACGUUGGUUGAGUUAUGAACAUCUGCGCUACGCAGAGUUAAAGCUAGGGCACAUAAAAAAACUUAAGCAGUAAGCGAAUUAGCUAAUGGAAGUUGAGAAUAUAAAGCCAAACAUAAGCAGCAGCAAAUCCAAAAUGUUAAAUUUCUUACUGCCUACGUCUUACUGCUUAAGUUUUUCUAUGUGCCAUGGCCUUUAAGCAUUAAGAUAAACUAAAGUUCUUCAUUGAUUUAGUUCAAACUUGAUAAUAUUGUGUAUUUUAGUACAUAGAACAUGAAUAUGAAUAUAAAAUCGUUGCUCUUAAGCAGGUAGAAAGUUAUAAAGCGUUAAAGAUUAACACUUGUGAGGUUAGGAAAUCUGUCACACCGAUGGCAUAAAAGGACAUGCGAACGUGUAUGUUUGCAUUUGUUUUUUGUACCUAUAUCCUUUGUUAAAUAAAAGAAAAUUUUUACAACAUCUUUUUUACAAUCCUUCAACUUAUAACACAAAUUUCGGAAUAUUCUCGGAUUAGUUACGAAUUACCCCGGGCUUGGGGCUAUUCGUAAUUUUUGGUAUUAGUCGACAUUUUUACAUGUACUUCAAAGCAAGUACAUUUCUAUGUUAUAUCUAUACCGGCAUUGUGAAGCGGAAGGUUUAACCUUUUAAACCGUUCCAUGUUUUUUUUUUUUUAAUGAAUAUAGAAAUUAGGAGACACAAAAGAAAAAAAGGUCUAACGAAUAGCCCCGGUCUCCCCUAUUAUUAUAUUUAUCAUUUUUUUGUAAGAAUCAGCAGUAACAAUUAAUUAACUCAGUUCUAAGUCCCUUAUCCCAUGCAGCAUACUAAUGUUGAAUCAACAUCUCAGCAACAUCGUGAAAUAUAGAUUCAACGUUAAAACGACAUCACAAAAAGAUCCAAUAUCCGUUGAAUUUAUUUAGACAUUGCAAUUCAACUUUGAUUCAACAUUGAUUUUUUGAUUCAACAUUGAUCCUACAUUUAUUCAAUGCAUAAUAUAAAUAACGAUUUUAUAAAUAUUAUACAGUUUAUUUUUUAAAAAAUUGAACAAGAUAAAUAUGUUUAUAAAUUAGGUUAUACAUUGUUUAUAAAUUGUUUAUCAAAUUAAUUUAUAAAUUGUUGAAAAAUAUCAAAAUUUAAAAAACUAUAUUAAACUAUAUUUUUAUAUAUUUGCCAUGUGUUGAAACAUUAAACAUUUGGAAGGCAUAGGCAGGUGAAACGUUCGUCAAGGAGGGUUAAUUGUACAUCAUAUUCUUAGCGACACCGAGCGUAAAAUGAUCGUCAUCUAAUCCGCCUCUCUUCGUGAAUUUGAUGAUUAAGCGCUAUAACGAGAUGAUAGGAAUCACUAUAACAAACUGCGGGGGGGAGAGAGAAGACAGAGGGUGUGCACGUGGUGCACGCACGCGCCACGUGCGCACCCGUCGGGAGUUUAGGUUUCACGUUCGACAGUCGUGACUCUUUUUUGCGCGUCUCGAGAGGAUGUGACGCGUGUAAUUGGCUCUAAUUGGUUUACCAAUUGCCGCGGCCAAUUGGUCGAUGGAAAGCCAGUCUAUUAGAUCCCGAGCAUCGGAACUGUUUGCGCAAACAAUGGAUCGCGCAAACGAAAGUAAAGCGAAACGCCUCUCGCAGUAAAGACCUUCGUUCUACAGGUUCGACUCUGAGCCAUUGCACGCGAAAAAGCCAUUUAUCGAGAAGCAACUACUUUGGAUUUCCCGAUUCAAUCUUUUAUACGAACGAUUAUUUUGUUAAAUGACGAAUAUGUGAAAAAUUCAAGGAAAUAAGAUAUUCCUAAUAAAAUUUUAAUCCUGUUGUAAUAUUAUUGCGGAAUGAAGUUUUACUAUUUAUUUUUACGAUUCCAUGUGAGACAUUUUGCCAAGGCACACGAUCGAUACACUGAUCCUCGUGGGAAUCCGUGAACGGUAGCAUAAAAGUAGCGGAUAUUUAGAUUGGGAUAUCUAAUCUCUCUUCGAACCGACUCGACGGAACUAUAACGGUUGACCUCGGAGCGCCUAGCAACAAGUCGCGUAUGGGCAAUGUCCUCUCGAGAGAUGUGAUCCUUAUUUAUCCGGAACGUCGAGGUGCUCCACCUCGCGAAGAGUAUACUGCCCGGAGUGAGCAGACGAUCACUAAAAGAAGAACGUUAACGACUCGUCGAGAGGACCAACUUCAGACACGACUAAUGAGCCAAGAAGGAAUCUUUGAGAGGGAAUUUUAAGUAUAUUCAGGAUAUUAACUCGUAUUAUCAUUUUUUCAAACAAUUUCAUAUUGUUGUUAUUAUAUACAGAGUGCCUACAAAGUCUCUACUUCAUAUAAUUGGUUCAAAAUUAUGAAAAACAAAAUACGUAAGAGUAUUUUACCUUUCAAUCGUUUUCAAAGAAUUGAAGUCUCUUGUAAUGAUCAAAUACGUCAUCGGUUUUCUUAAUUUCAUUGAAAACAAAUGAUAUGAUCAUAUUAACAAAACUUGUAUGAUUGAGUAUUUCUGAUGAAGCCAAGUAGAUUUUUUGGUUAUCACAAUAGGAUUCUUAUUAUAAUCAGAACGUCUGAUAGAUUUUUUUACUAUAAUCUGGUAAUUCUUACAGGAUUUCUGAUUCGUUCGUUUUUAAUCAGGCGUAUUGAUUGAAUCUAUCAGAUUUCUAAAUGAUGCAACAAGACUUUUUUCCCAGUGUUAAAACCGUUUUCCAAAAAUAUAAGGAAUGAGGACAGACACUUGUAUGUAUACAUAAUUGGGAUAAAUAGUACACGCAGUUGUGGUAAAUUAUGUAAAGGAUAAAUGUCUAUAUGUCUAUAUUAUAUGUAUAUGCCUAGACUUAAUGGAUGUGUAGACGUUUAUCUACUAGAUUUGAUAUUUACCACAUAGUUUUUAUCCAGACAUGGAACUACCGAUUCUAAAUAUUCUAUAUAUUAAAAUAUAUAUAAUUAAGAUAUUAAAAUAUAAUAACUAUACUC